AUACGUAGGAGGCAAGCGUUAUCCGGAUUUACUGGGCGUAAGGCGCGUGUAGGCGGUUUGGUAAGUUGGAUGUGAAAGCUCCCGGCUCAACUGGGAGAGGUCGUUCAAGACUGCCAGACUAGAGGGCGGUAGAGGGAGGUGGAAUUCCGGGUGUAGUGGUGAAAUGCGUAGAUAUCCGGAGGAACACCAGUGGCGAAGGCGGCCUCCUGGACCGCACCUGACGCUCAGACGCGAAAGCAUGGGUAGCAAACGGGAUUAGAAACCCCAGUAGUCC
rnacentral:rRNA from 1 species